GACGGGGGGGGGGCAAGUGUUCUUCAGAAUGACUGGGCGUAAAGGGUGCGUAGGCGGUCGCGUAAGUCAGGUGUGAAAUCUCAGGGCUCAACCCUGAAACUGCACUUGAUACUGCGUGGCUCGGGUACUGGAGAGGAGACUGGAAUUUACGGUGUAGCAGUGAAAUGCGUAGAUAUCGUAAGGAAGACCAGUGGCGAAGGCGAGUCUCUGGACAGUUACCGACGCUGAGGCACGAAGGUCAGGGGAGCAAACGGG
rnacentral:rRNA from 1 species